UUGCAUGGAAGCAACCGGCCACUGUAUUCUUCUUACAACACCUCCGUCAGAUUCGCAUCCCUUUCUCUCUCUGAUGACUGAUCAGAUGACGCAUCUCUCUCUCCCUGUCCUAAAAGCUUCACAGUUUAGAGAGAGAAACUAUACUUUUGUCUCUGUUGUUCCACUUGUUUCUAUGAUCCUCUCUUCUUCUAUAUAAACACGACUCUGCUCUGAAAUCCAAGCUUUUCUUUUCCGUUCUAUCUCUCUGAUUGAUAUUUAUCAAGUUUCCCAUCAGUCCUUCAUAGUCUAUUUUUGGCUUUUGUUCCUAUUAAAUUUUGCUGCUUUGUUCUUCAAGGGUGAAUCUAAUCUUCUCACUGUGUUUUGGGUUUCCAAUUUGAUUCUCUUUUGCUGCAAUUUUGAUUCACCCAAACUGGGUUUUCUUCUCUUCAAGGAGAAUCCUUAUGUCCUGAUUGCUUGUUGAGGAGUAUCUGUCAUUUAGAGGGUAGAAUUAUGGGGGCUGCAGGCUCUAAAAUAGAAGAGGAUAAGGCCCUGCAGUUAUGUCGUGAAAGGAAGAAGUAUGUUCGUCAGGCACUUGAUGGGAGAUGCUCACUGGCUGCUGCUCAUGUUGCAUAUAUUGAGACACUAAAAAGUUCAGGAACUGCUCUUAGGAAGUUUGUUGAGUUUGAAGCUCCAGUUGAGUCUUCCCUUUACACUUCAACUAAUGCUACGCCAGAGCCCCUUGCUUUAACUGAGAAGUCUCUUUCCCAGUUCUCAUACUCUUCUCCAUCUUUCUCACAGCGUGUAGAUGCUGCUGAAACCUUUUCUCCAACACCUUCUCCUCCCACUUCUAGUCAUUUUCAGGCAAACCAUAUGAAAUUUGGGUUUAUGUCUUCAAAAAUAGUUGAAGAGAAACCCCCUCAACCUGAUAUCAGAUCGGUAAACUCAUCAAGUACUCCACAAAAUAUCACACCGCGUUUCUCUGAAAAACCAGAAUCAUCACCGUUUGAAGCUUCUUCUUUGCCACCAGGAAGUCCACAGUGGGAUUUCUUUGGUCUUUGGCAUCCAAUUGACAAUCAAUUGUCAUUCAAAGAUGGGAAGGAAUUGAACCAAGGGUUGGAAACUGUUGAUGAUUUAAGACGGCUUAGGGAGGAGGAGGGUCUUCCUGAGCUGGAAGAUGAAGAGGGGGCUUCUUUUUGUGAAAAAGAAGAAACUCAGGGUUCAGAAGAUGAAUUUGAUGAUGAGCCUCCUGCAGAUACUCUAGUUCGAAGUUUUGAAAAUCUGAAUAGGGUAAAUGACCAUAAAAUAGCCAAUGCAUCAUCGGCUAUCCCUUCUAUGGGUGGUGUAGCUUUAGAAACUGACUUCCUCAAUGGGGAAAAGAGCAACUCUCCUGAUUUGUCACCUUUAGGAGCUACACCCUCCACUGUUUCUGUUCCAACUGAAAUAAAGAAAACACCUGUCAAUGAAGAUGGUUCUGAAAACAAGGUUGCCCCUAAAGACUUCCUUUCUGUCAUGAAAGAUAUUGAGUUCCUCUUUAUAAAAGCUUCUGACUCUGGGAAGGAAGUUCCAAGGAUGCUUGAAGCAAAUAAGUUGCAUUUCCGUCCUAUUUUUCCAGGAAAAGAAGGUGGAUUGACGGCAUCCACAUUUUUUAAGGCCUGUUUCUCUUGUGGAGAAGAUCCAAGCCAAGUUAAAGAAGAGCCUCCUCAAACUGCUCAAAAGUACUUGACUUGGCAUAGGACAACAUCAUCUCGAUCAUCUUCAUCUGGGAAUCCUCUGGGAUUAAAUUCAAAGGAUGACGCUGAGGACCUUAACAACAAUUUUCUCUAUAAUACCUGCAUGCUUUCAGGCAGUCAUGCAUCGACCUUGGAUAGACUAUAUGCAUGGGAGAGGAAGCUUUAUGAUGAAGUAAAGGCCAGUGAGACAGUCCGAAAUGAGUAUGACUUGAAGUGUAAAAUCUUAAGACAGCUGGAGUCAAAGGGAGAGAGUUCAAACAAAAUUGACAAGACUCGAGCUGUUGUCAAGGAUUUGCACUCAAGAAUUAGAGUUGCAAUCCACAGGAUUCACUCGAUAUCAAAAAGGAUUGAGGAUUUACGGGACAAUGAGCUGCAGCCUCAACUUGAGGAGUUGAUUGAAGGGUUGAGUCGAAUGUGGGAAGUAAUGUUUGAAUGUCACAGGCGUCAGUUUCAAAUUAUCUCUGUAGCAGACAAGACUGGCAACAUGAAAAUCUCUGUACUGUCUGAAUCACAUCGGCAGAUCACCACUCAUCUUGAAGUUGAACUAAGCAUGCUGUCUUCAAGUUUUACAAAGUGGAUUGGUGCCCAGAAAGCUUAUCUGAAAGCCAUAAACAGUUGGCUUGGGAAAUGUGCUUCUAUUCAACAAAAAACUUCGAAGAAAUCUAAGAGGAAAAUCCUCGAAAUCCAAUUUUUGAGAAAAUUUGGCCCUCCAAUGUAUGUAACAUGUGGUGCUUGGCUUGAAAAGCUUGAUACGUUGGAGCCUUCUAUAAAGGAUGUCUCAGAGUCCAUUAAACGUUUGGCAGCUGAUACAUCUGGCUUUUUACCACACCAUGAAAGCAAUGAGGGGAAGGAUGCUAAUCAUCCGUAUUCAGCAUCUGGGAAGGAUGACAACAGUGAUUCUGCAAUUAAUAUGUCAAGAGAUGAUGCUUUGAAAGAGAGGAUGUCAGUAUCCAGGAAGAAUGACGACAUCAAUGAAUCUGAAUAUAACAUGUUAAGAAAUAAUGCUUUGAAGGAUUCUUUUGGGAGAAGCUUAGUUUGCUUUCUUGGUCAAUUGAAGACUUACGCGGAAGCAUCUGUGAAGAUGUAUUUGGAACUUGACAAGGAAAUUCAAGAAGCUAAGCGUAAUUAUGAUUUGUCCGUCCAAGGAGCAGAGAACGGCAGUGAAGGAAAUAAUGAUCAGAGCAACGAUCAAAGCAGCAAUCAGAGCAACAACCAUUCCAAGGAUCAAUCGAUGUCACAAGCGUAAACUUACUAUUUCGAAAAGAGUUGGGCUGCAGAAGACAGACACAAGUUUUCGAAGCAUUCAUGGCAACCGUGUUUAAGAAAAAUGAAGCGUUUCGCAUUGCAUGCAGCGUUUUUAUAUUGAAUAUAGGAAUAAAAGGGUAUUUGGUAGAAACCCUUCCAGUUACAUUCGGUAACUCAAUAAAGAAGCUCUGCUUUUGUAAAACGGAUGUCAUAAGGGGUGAUUUGCAGGCAAAAGCUGUAACAUAGAGGUAUCCACACUACACUUCCAAUCAGGAAUUCAUGUUAAGGCAGUGAGCAGUAGCUUCUGCCCCUCAAACUGGAAAACUCUGAAAAAUCUUCAGGAUAGAAAGUCCAAAUCCCUCAAAAUCAGAAGGAAAGCCCCAAUGUCUCAGUUGAAACUUUACUUCCCUCAUCAGGCCAUUAUCAGGUUAGGUGUUGGAAGCUGACUUCACACCAUUUCUAUAUGAAAAUCUCCUUUCUGUUU